GACAGAGGCCCCAAGCGUUAGGCGGAAUCACUGGGCUUAAAGCGUGUGUAGGCGGAUCGUUAAGUGUCUUGUGAAAUCCCACGGCUCACCCGUGGAACUGCUGGGCAUACUGGCGAUCUUGGGCCAACUAGGGGCAGCCGGAACAAGCGGUGGAGCGGUGAAAUGCGUAGAGAUCGGGAGGAACACCAGUGGCGAAGGCGGCCUUCUGGACCAAUACUGACGCUCAUGCACGAAAGCGUGGGGAGCAAACAGG
rnacentral:rRNA from 1 species